rnacentral:rRNA from 1 species
UGGGGAAUUUUGGACAAUGGGGGAAACCCUGAUCCAGCCAUCCCGCGUGUGCGAUGAAGGCCUUCGGGUUGUAAAGCACUUUUGGCAGGAAAGAAAUGUCAUGGGUUAAUACCCCGUGAAACUGACGGUACCUGCAGAAUAAGCACCGGCUAACUACGUGCCAGCAGCCGCGGUAAUACGUAGGGUGCAAGCGUUAAUCGGAAUUACUGGGCGUAAAGCGUGCGCAGGCGGUUCGGAAAGAAAGAUGUGAAAUCCCAGAGCUCAACUUUGGAACUGCAUUUUUAACUACCGGGCUAGAGUGUGUCAGAGGGAGGUGGAAUUCCGCGUGUAGCAGUGAAAUGCGUAGAUAUGCGGAGGAACACCGAUGGCGAAGGCAGCCUCCUGGGAUAACACUGACGCUCAUGCACGAAAGCGUGGGGAGCAAACAGG